GACUAAUACCGCAUGAAGCAGGGAUCCCGCAUGGGAAUAUUUGCUAAAGAUUCAUCGCUGAUAGAUAGGCAUGCGUUCCAUUAGGCAGUUGGCGGGGGUAACGGCCCACCAAACCGACGAUGGAUAGGGGUUCUGAGAGGAAGGUCCCCCACAUUGGUACUGAGACACGGACCAAACUCCUACGGGAGGCAGCAUGC
rnacentral:rRNA from 1 species